UUCAAUAUUUCGUCCUCGUCUGUUACGUCGAAAAAGACGCUUUAUAGACAAGGAUAAAAUAUACUAUAGCGCGGCUAUACUCAACCUGCGGCCCUGGCUCCCUAGAGAAGUGGCAAGCGAUCAUCGUAAACGCUUACAAAAUGUAUGCGAUUUGACAUAAGUCAUCGCUUCGCUAGCGAAUACUAAUGUCAAAUUCCAUACAUUUUGUGGCGUUGGCGUUGGCGAUAAUCGCUUGC